rnacentral:rRNA from 1 species
UACGUAGGGUGCAAGCGUUAAUCGGAAUUACUGGGCGUAAAGCGUGCGCAGGCGGUUUUGUAAGUCUGUCGUGAAAGCCCCGGGCUCAACCUGGGAAUUGCGAUGGAGACUGCAAGGCUUGAAUCUGGCAGAGGGGGGGUAGAAUUCCACGUGUAGCAGUGAAAUGCGUAGAGAUGUGGAGGAACACCGGAUGGCGAAGGCAGCCCCCUGGGUCAAGAUUGACGCUCAUGCACGAAAGCGUGGGGAGCAAACAGG